GAAAUGCGAUAAGUAAUGCGAAUUGCAGAUUUCAGUGAAUAACCGAAUCUUUGAACUCACAUUGCACCCGGCGGCCAUUCCGCCGGGUCUGCCUGUCCGAGCGUCGUUUCACCCCUCGAGUCCACCAAGCAACUCGGUGUUGGGGAUCUGCAGGGCCCUCAGGGGCGCUGCAGGCCCUGAAAUACAAUGGCGGACCCUGCUGGAACCCCCUGCGCAGUAGCAAACCUCUCGCAUCGGGUUCCGGCGGAGCCUGGCCGUCAACCGGUCGGCGCCUCGGGCGCCGCCCCCCUUCAGAACGGUCGAUCUCGGAUCAGGUAGGGUUACCCGCUGAACUUAA
rnacentral:misc_RNA from 1 species